rnacentral:rRNA from 1 species
GACGAACGCUGGCGGCGUGCCUAAUACAUGCAAGUCGAGCGGACGAAUCGAAAGCUUGCUUUUGAUUCGUUAGCGGCGGACGGGUGAGUAACACGUGGGCAACCUGCCCUGUAGACGGGGAUAACACCGAGAAAUCGGUGCUAAUACCGGAUAACACGAAAUGUCGCAUGACGUUUCGUUGAAAGACGGCGCAAGCUGCCGCUACAGGAUGGGCCCGCGGCGCAUUAGCUAGUUGGUGAGGUAACGGCUCACCAAGGCGACGAUACGUAGCCGACCUGAGAGGGUGAUCGGCCACACUGGGACUGAGACACGGCCCAGACUCCUACGGGAGGCAGCAGUAGGGAAUCUUCCGCAAUGGACGAAAGUCUGACGGAGCAACGCCGCGUGAGCGAAGAAGGACUUCGGGUCGUAAAGCUCUGUUGUUAGGGAAGAACAAGUAACGCAGUAACUGGCGUUACCGUGACGGUACCUAACGAGAAAGCCACGGCUAACUACGUG